rnacentral:rRNA from 1 species
AGCAGCCGCGGUAAUUCCAGCUCCAAUAGCGUAUAUUAAAGUUGUUGCAGUUAAAAAGCUCGUAGUUGAAUUUCGGGGCCAGUAAGUUGGUCGUGCCACUGGUAUGUACUGGCUUUACUGGUCUCUCCUUCUUGAAGAACCGUGAUGCCAUUAAUUUGGUGUUGCGGGGAAACAGGACUGUUACUUUGAAAAAUUAGAGUGCUUAAAGCAGGCUUACGCUUGAAUACAUUAGCAUGGAAUAACGAAAUAGGACGCUCGAUUCUAUUUUGUUGGUUUCUAGGAUCGACGUAAUGAUUAAUAGGGAUAGUUGGGGGCAUUAGUAUUCAAUUGUCAGAGGUGAAAUUCUUGGAUUUAUUGAAGACUAACUACUGCGAAAGCAUUUGCCAAGGAUGUUUUCAUUAAUCAAGAACGAAAGUUAGGGGAUCGAAGACGAUCAGAUACCGUCGUAGU